rnacentral:rRNA from 1 species
UACAGAGGUCCCGAGCGUUGUUCGGAUUCAUUGGGCGUAAAGGGUGCGUAGGCGGCGGGGCAAGUCUGAUGUGAAAUCCUGGGGCUCAACCCCAGAACUGCAUUGGAUACUGCCUUGCUAGAGUACUGGAGAGGGAACUGGAAUUUACGGUGUAGCAGUGAAAUGCGUAGAGAUCGUAAGGAAGGCCAGUGGCGAAGGCGAGUUCCUGGGCAGUUACUGACGCUGAGGCACGAAGGCCAGGGGAGCAAACGGG